rnacentral:rRNA from 1 species
UACGAAGGGGGCUAGCGUUGUUCGGAUUUACUGGGCGUAAAGCGCACGUAGGCGGAUCGAUCAGUCAGGGGUGAAAUCCCAGGGCUCAACCCUGGAACUGCCUUUGAUACUGUCGAUCUGGAGUAUGGAAGAGGUGAGUGGAAUUCCGAGUGUAGAGGUGAAAUUCGUAGAUAUUCGGAGGAACACCAGUGGCGAAGGCGGCUCACUGGUCCAUUACUGACGCUGAGGUGCGAAAGCGUGGGAAGCAAACAGG